GACGAACGCUGGCGGCGGGCGGAACACAGGCAAGUCGAACGGAAAGGCCCUGCUUUUGUGGGGUGCUCGAGUGGCGAACGGGUGAGUAACACGUGAGUAACCUGCCCUUGACUUUGGGAUAACUUCAGGAAACUGGGGCUAAUACCGGAUAGGAGCUCCUGCUGCAUGGUGGGGGUUGGAAAGUUUCGGCGGUUGGGGAUGGACUCGCGGCUUAUCAGCUUGUUGGUGGGGUAGUGGCUUACCAAGGCUUUGACGGGGAGCCGGCCUGAGAGGGUGACCGGCCACAUUGGGACUGAGAUACGGCCCAGACUCCUACGGGAGGCAGCAGUGGGGAAUAUUGCACAAUGGGCGGAAGCCUGAUGCAGCAACGCCGCGUGCGGGAUGACGGCCUUCGGUUUGUAAACCGCUUUCGCCUGUGACGAAGCGUGAGUGACGGUAAUGGGUAAAGCAGCACCGGCUCCCUACGUG
rnacentral:rRNA from 1 species